UACGGGGGGGGGCAAGCGUUGUUCGGAAUUACUGGGCGUAAAGGGCUCGUAGGCGGCCAACUAAGUCAGACGUGAAAUCCCUCGGCUUAACCGGGGAACUGCGUCUGAUACUGGAUGGCUUGAGUUUGGGAGAGGGAUGCGGAAUUCCAGGUGUAGCGGUGAAAUGCGUAGAUAUCUGGAGGAACACCGGUGGCGAAGGCGGCAUCCUGGACCAAUACUGACGCUGAUGAGCGAAAGCCAGGGGAGCAAACGGG
rnacentral:rRNA from 1 species